UACGUAGGGACCAAGCGUUGUUCGGAUUUACUGGGCGUAAAGGGCGCGUAGGCGGCAAUUCAAGUCAUCUGUGAAAUCUCCGGGCUUAACUCGGAAUGGUCAGGUGAUACUGCUUUGCUAGAGUGCAGAAGGGGCAAUCGGAAUUCUUGGUGUAGCGGUGAAAUGCGUAGAUAUCAAGAGGAACACCUGAGGUGGAGACGGGUUGCUGGGCUGACACUGACGCUGAGGCGCGAAAGCUAGGGGAGCAAACGGG
rnacentral:rRNA from 1 species